GGUUGAUCCUGCCAGUAGUCAUAUGCUUGUCUCAAAGAUUAAGCCAUGCAUGUCUAAGUAUAAGCAAUCUAUACUGCGAAACUGCGAAUGGCUCAUUAAAUCAGUUAUAGUUAUUUGAUAGUACCUACUACUUGGAUAACCGUAGUAAUUCUAGAGCUAAUACAUGCACGCAAUCCCGACUUCUGGAAGGGAUGUAUUUAUUAGAUAAAAAACCAAUACGGGUCUUCGGGCCCGGUAUUGCGAUGAUUCAUAAUAACUUGUCGAAUCGCAUGGCCUCGUGCCGGCGAUGAAUCAUUCAAAUUUCUGCCCUAUCAACUUUCGAUUGUAGGAUAGAGGCCUACAAUGGUUUUAACGGGUAACGGAGAAUUAGGGUUCGAUUCCGGAGAGGGAGCCUGAGAAACGGCUACCACAUCCAAGGAAGGCAGCAGGCGCGCAAAUUACCCAAUCCCGAUACGGGGAGGUAGUGACAAUAAAUAACAAUACCGAGCUUUUCAAGUUAGGUAAUUGGAAUGAGUACAAUCUAAAACCCUUAACGAGGAACAAUUGGAGGGCAAGUCUGGUGCCAGCAGCCGCGGUAAUUCCAGCUCCAAUAGCGUAUAUUAAAGUUGCUGCAGUUAAAAAGCUCGUAGUUGGAUUUCAGGGUCUCUUGGCCGGUCUGCCGAAAGGUAUGCACUGGUCGGGGGUUCCUUCCUUCUGAAGACUGUGUCUGCUCUUAACUGGGCGGGCAUUAGGAUUCAGAUCGUUUACUUUGAAAAAAUUAGAGUGUUCAAAGCAGGCCAAUCGCCUUGAAUACAUUAGCAUGGAAUAAUGGAAUAGGACUUUGGUUCUAUUUUGUUGGUUUCUAGGACUGAAGUAAUGAUUAAUAGGGAUAGUUGGGGGCAUUCAUAUUUAAUUGCUAGAGGUGAAAUUCUCAGAUUUAUGAAAGAUGAACUUCUGCGAAAGCAUUUGCCAAGGAUGUUUUCAUUAAUCAAGAACGAAAGUUAGGGGAUCGAAGACGAUCAGAUACCGUCGUAGUCUUAACCAUAAACUAUGCCGACUAGGGAUUGGUGGAUGUUCCAUUGAUGACUCCAUCAGCACCUUAUGAGAAAUCAAAGUAUUUGGGUUCCGGGGGGAGUAUGGUCGCAAGGCUGAAACUUAAAGGAAUUGACGGAAGGGCACCACCAGGCGUGGAGCCUGCGGCUUAAUUUGACCCAACACGGGGAAACUUACCAGGUCCAGACAUAGUAAGGAUUGACAGAU
rnacentral:rRNA from 1 species